rnacentral:sRNA from 1 species
CUCCUCUUGUUCUUCUCCUGCUGCUUGUUUGUUUUAUAGAGAUAAGAGAAUAUAGUUUGUGGGUGGGAGAAAAAUCUAUCCGAGAACAACUCCUGCUUACUUUGUUUGUUACAUGCUUACUUUGUUUGUUACAUAGAGUGUAGGUGUGAAAAAAGUUUGUGAGAGAAAAUAAAAUACAAGGUAGGAAAGGGAAAGGGAACACAAUACAAUAUAUGCUCUGAUUUAAGAUUGUUGCUACCUCCGGAAUGGAGUCCCCAACUGAAUCGGAUGACGAUGAAGACCCUCAAAUUGCUUGUCACACAAUUUUGGCUUUGGUGGUUUUAGGGAAAAUGAAAGAGAUAUGACCGGUGGAACGGAAGACAAAAUUGAAGUGAUUAUGCUUCCAGCUCAGCCAUCGUGUCUCCAGCACUCUAACUGAUCCGUACUCUAAAUUACAACGAAAACUAUAUACGUAGAUCAUAUUUUAGCAGAUUCCCUUCAUGAUUUGCCCAAGGAAUCCAUCAGAACAACAGCAAAAGAAGCAAACACAAUCCCUGGAUUGUGUCACUAAUUGGAAGAACCCUCAAGUCAUGCUACAGAAAAUAUUUCUAAACUUAUAACUGCAAACUAAGAACCAUAUUUUUCUAUUCUUUUUUAAAUAGGAAACCUUAGUUAUUUUCUUCAUUAUUAGUUUCCUAUAACAUUUUCUUAAAUUGUCAAAAGAGUCAAUGCUCCUAUAACUUUCUUAUAUCUUUUUGGAA